UAAUGCCGAAACCAGAACAUGGUGCGGGGGAUGAUUUGCGGAUCAAGCUUAGGUACGAGAUGAGAUCAGAGCUUAUCCUUGGGGUGAAGUGCCGGUUAUCCGCGGCGCCGGGUUGUAUCCUCAAUCCGAAUCCGACAGCUAACUCCGCAGGCAUAGUUAAAAGGA
rnacentral:sRNA from 1 species